rnacentral:rRNA from 1 species
UUAAGCGACUAAGCGUACACGGUGGAUGCCCUGGCAGUCAGAGGCGAUGAAGGACGUGCUAAUCUGCGAAAAGCGUCGGUAAGGUGAUAUGAACCGUUAUAACCGGCGAUGUCCGAAUGGGGAAACCCAGUGUGAUUCGUCACACUAUCGUUAACUGAAUACAUAGGUUAACGAGGCGAACCGGGGGAACUGAAACAUCUAAGUACCCCGAGGAAAAGAAAUCAACCGAGAUUCCCCCAGUAGCGGCGAGCGAACGGGGAGCAGCCCAGAGUCUGAAUCAGCUUGUGUGUUAGUGGAACGGUCUGGAAAGUCCGACGGUACAGGGUGAUAGUCCCGUACACCAAAAUGCACAGGCUGUGAACUCGAAGAGUAGGGCGGGACACGUGGUAUCCUGUCUGAAUAUGGGGGGACCAUCCUCCAAGGCUAAAUACUCCUGACUGACCGAUAGUGAACCAGUACCGUGAGGGAAAGGCGAAAAGAACCCCGGCGAGGGGAGUGAAAAAGAACCUGAAACCGUGUACGUACAAGCAGUGGGAGCACCUUCGGGUGUGACUGCGUACCUUUUGUAUAAUGGGUCAGCGACUUAUAUUCUGUAGCAAGGUUAACCGUAUAGGGGAGCCGCAGGGAAACCGAGUCUUAACUGGGCGUUAAGUUGCAGGGUAUAGACCCGAAACCCGGUGAUCUAGCCAUGGGCAGGUUGAAGGUUGGGUAACACUAACUGGAGGACCGAACCGACUAAUGUUGAAAAAUUAGCGGAUGACUUGUGGCUGGGGGUGAAAGGCCAAUCAAACCGGGAGAUAGCUGGUUCUCCCCGAAAGCUAUUUAGGUAGCGCCUCGUGAAUUCAUCUUCGGGGGUAGAGCACUGUUUCGGCUAGGGGGUCAUCCCGACUUACCAACCCGAUGCAAACUACGAAUACCGAAGAAUGUUAUCACGGGAGACACACGGCGGGUGCUAACGUCCGUCGUGAAGAGGGAAACAACCCAGACCGCCAGCUAAGGUCCCAAAGUCAUGGUUAAGUGGGAAACGAUGUGGGAAGGCACAGACAGCCAGGAUGUUGGCUUAGAAGCAGCCAUCAUUUAAAGAAAGCGUAAUAGCUCACUGGUCGAGUCGGCCUGCGCGGAAGAUGUAACGGGGCUAAACCAUGCACCGAAGCUGCGGCAGCGACACUAUGUGUUGUUGGGUAGGGGAGCGUUCUGUAAGCCUGCGAAGGUGUGCUGUGAGGCAUGCUGGAGGUAUCAGAAGUGCGAAUGCUGACAUAAGUAACGAUAAAGCGGGUGAAAAGCCCGCUCGCCGGAAGACCAAGGGUUCCUGUCCAACGUUAAUCGGGGCAGGGUGAGUCGACCCCUAAGGCGAGGCCGAAAGGCGUAGUCGAUGGGAAACAGGUUAAUAUUCCUGUACUUGGUGUUACUGCGAAGGGGGGACGGAGAAGGCUAUGUUAGCCGGGCGACGGUUGUCCCGGUUUAAGCAUGUAGGCUGGUUGUCCAGGCAAAUCCGGAUAAUCAAGGCUGAGGUGUGAUGACGAGGCACUACGGUGCUGAAGUAACAAAUGCCCUGCUUCCAGGAAAAGCCUCUAAGCAUCAGGUAACAUCAAAUCGUACCCCAAACCGACACAGGUGGUCAGGUAGAGAAUACCAAGGCGCUUGAGAGAACUCGGGUGAAGGAACUAGGCAAAAUGGUGCCGUAACUUCGGGAGAAGGCACGCUGGUGUGUAGGUGAAGUCCCUGCGGAUGGAGCUGAGACCAGUCGAAGAUACCAGCUGGCUGCAACUGUUUAUUAAAAACACAGCACUGUGCAAACACGAAAGUGGACGUAUACGGUGUGACGCCUGCCCGGUGCCGGAAGGUUAAUUGAUGGGGUUAUCCGUAAGGAGAAGCUCUUGAUCGAAGCCCCGGUAAACGGCGGCCGUAACUAUAACGGUCCUAAGGUAGCGAAAUUCCUUGUCGGGUAAGUUCCGACCUGCACGAAUGGCGUAAUGAUGGCCAGGCUGUCUCCACCCGAGACUCAGUGAAAUUGAACUCGCUGUGAAGAUGCAGUGUACCCGCGGCAAGACGGAAAGACCCCGUGAACCUUUACUAUAGCUUGACACUGAACAUUGAGCCUUGAUGUGUAGGAUAGGUGGGAGGCUUUGAAGCGUGGACGCCAGUCUGCGUGGAGCCAACCUUGAAAUACCACCCUUUAAUGUUUGAUGUUCUAACGUUGGCCCCUUACCGGGGUUGCGGACAGUGUCUGGUGGGUAGUUUGACUGGGGCGGUCUCCUCCCAAAGCGUAACGGAGGAGCACGAAGGUUAGCUAAUCCUGGUCGGACAUCAGGAGGUUAGUGCAAUGGCAUAAGCUAGCUUGACUGCGAGCGUGACGGCGCGAGCAGGUGCGAAAGCAGGUCAUAGUGAUCCGGUGGUUCUGAAUGGAAGGGCCAUCGCUCAACGGAUAAAAGGUACUCCGGGGAUAACAGGCUGAUACCGCCCAAGAGUUCAUAUCGACGGCGGUGUUUGGCACCUCGAUGUCGGCUCAUCACAUCCUGGGGCUGAAGUAGGUCCCAAGGGUAUGGCUGUUCGCCAUUUAAAGUGGUACGCGAGCUGGGUUUAGAACGUCGUGAGACAGUUCGGUCCCUAUCUGCCGUGGGCGCUGGAGAAUUGAGGGGGGCUGCUCCUAGUACGAGAGGACCGGAGUGGACGCAUCACUGGUGUUCGGGUUGUCAUGCCAAUGGCACUGCCCGGUAGCUAAAUGCGGAAGAGAUAAGUGCUGAAAGCAUCUAAGCACGAAACUUGCCCCGAGAUGAGUUCUCCCUGAGACUUUAAGUCUCCUGAAGGAACGUUAAAGACGAUGACGUUGAUAGGCCGGGUGUGUAAGCGCAGCGAUGCGUUGAGCUAACCGGUACUAAUGAACCGUGAGGCUUAACCUU